UUCCAGACUCCUACGGGAGGCAGCAGUGGGGGAUAUUGCACAAUGGGGGAAACCCUGAUGCAGCGACGCCGCGUGGGUGAAGAAGCGCCUCGGCGCGUAAAGCCCUGUCAGCAGGGAAGAAAAUGACGGUACCUGAAGAAGAAGCCCCGGCUAACUACGUGCCAGCAGCCGCGGUAAUACGUAGGGGGCAAGCGUUAUCCGGAUUUACUGGGUGUAAAGGGGGCGCAGACGGCAGCGCAAGCCAGGAGUGAAAGCCCGGGGCCCAACCCCGGGACUGCUCUUGGAACUGCGCGGCUGGAGUGCAGGAGGGGCAGGCGGAAUUCCUGGUGUAGCGGUGAAAUGCGUAGAUAUUAGGAGGAACACCAGUGGCGAAGGCGGCCUACUGGACGGUGACUGACGCUGAGGCUCGAAAGCGUGGGGAGCAAACAGGAUUAGAUACCCGUGUAAG
rnacentral:rRNA from 1 species